GAUGAACGCUGGCGGCGUGCCUAAUACAUGCAAGUCGAGCGAACAGACGAGGAGCUUGCUCCUCUGACGUUAGCGGCGGACGGGUGAGUAACACGUGGAUAACCUACCUAUAAGACUGGGAUAACUUCGGGAAACCGGAGCUAAUACCGGAUAAUAUAUUGAACCGCAUGGUUUAAUAGUGAAAGACGGUUUUGCUGUCACUUAUAGAUGGCUCCGCGCCGCAUUAGCUAGUUGGUAAGGUAACGGCUUACCAAGGCAACGAUGCGUAGCCGACCUGAGAGGGUGAUCGGCCACACUGGAACUGAGACACGGUCCAGACUCCUACGGGAGGCAGCAGUAGGGAAUCUUCCGCAAUGGGCGAAAGCCUGACGGAGCAACGCCGCGUGAGUGAUGAAGGUCUUCGGAUCGUAAAACUCUGUUAUUAGGGAAGAACAAAUGUGUAAGUAACUAUGCACGUCUUGACGGUACCUAAUCAGAAAGCCACGGCUAACUACGUG
rnacentral:rRNA from 1 species